GUAGGCUAUGGGGAUAUCUAUCCCAAGACUUUGUUAGGAAAGAUAGUUGGUGGUCUUUGCUGCAUUGCAGGAGUGCUUGUCAUUGCCCUACCCAUCCCUAUUAUUGUAAACAAU
rfam:Astyanax mexicanus chromosome 13, whole genome shotgun sequence.